rnacentral:tRNA from 1 species
AGACCCAGGAACGAAGUUCUUCUACAAAUUUGCAAUUUGUCUUGCUGGGCC